rnacentral:rRNA from 1 species
CCCUUAGAUGUUCUGGACCGCACGCGCGCUACACUGACGAAUGCAACGAGCUUAUAACCUUGGCCGAAAGGUCUGGGUAAUCUCCAAAUUUCGUCGUGAUGGGGAUAGAUUAUUGCAAUUAUUAAUCUUCAACGAGGAAUGCCUAGUAAGCGCAAGUCAUCAGCUUGCGUUGAUUACGUCCCUGCCCUUUGUACACACCGCCCGUCGCUCCUACCGAUUGAAUGGUCCGGUGAAGCGUUCGGACCGUGGCCUUUGGACGGUUCGCCGUCUGUUGGCUGCGGGAAGUUCGUUAAACCUUAUCAUUUAGAGGAAGGAGAANUCGUANCA